rnacentral:rRNA from 1 species
AACGAACGCUGGCGGUGUGCUUAACACAUGCAAGUCGAACGAGAAAGUUUCCUUCGGGAAGCGAGUAAAGUGGCGCAAGGGUGAGUAACACGUGAAUAAUCUACCCUCGAGACUGGGAUAACCUGGUGAAAACUAGGCUAAUACCGGAUAAGACCACAUCCCGCAAGGGAUGCGGGAAAAAGGGGCGUCAACCUCCACUUGGGGAGUGAGUUCGCGGACCAUUAGCUUGUUGGUGAGAUAACAGCUCACCAAGGCUACGAUGGUUAGCCGGCCUGAGAGGGUGAACGGCCACACUGGAACUGAGACACGGUCCAGACUCCUACGGGAGGCAGCAGUGGGGAAGUAUUGCGCAAUGGGCGAAAGCCUGACGCAGCAACACCGCGUGAGCGAUG